rnacentral:lncRNA from 1 species
AUUCUUUCCUAUGAACAGGCAACUGAAUAUUUAGUGAUUUUCAAAAGACCAAAUGAACAGUAAAUCUUCACGUGAUUCUUGGAAGAAGAAGAAAAGUGCAUUAAAUAAUAUUGAAAAUAGAAUAAAUGUAAAUAAUGAGAAUUAAAAUCAGUAAACCUAUCACCAUUCACUUCCUUUCUUCUUUCACGCUCAAUCAUCCUUCUCUCUCUCACUUUCGAUCUCUUACCAUCUCGCCACUCUCGAUCGCUCUAUCUCACACCUCUCUCGCUCAUGUCAUCUCUCAAUCUCAACCUUAUUCACAAACUUUCACUCUACAUGCCAAAAAAACAAAAUGCUUUAAAGAGAUUCAAGCAGUAAAACUCACCUUCGGCGGUGGUCCGACGGUAAUGACGAUGCUUGGAUCUUCCUCCCGUCGCCGCUCAACUCUUCUAGCUUUAGGGUUUUCGCUCUCUGAAAACUUUAGGGUUUUUUUUGUGGCUGAUUGAAGUUAGGUUUUUCGUCGCCGCUCCUAAAAAACCCUCCUUUUUUCCUACAGCAUCCGCCUCUUUUUAUACCCAAUCAGUUAGGGUUUUCGAGCUAGCUAUGGAGAUUAAAAAGGGAAACCUCUUGGAAGUGCUUUUAGGUGCUCAGCUUUGCCUGUCUCGCUUGAUACUUAAAUCUGGAAACGGUAAUAUGAACUUAGCUUUCUUCCUCUAACUUUGUCUCAAUUCUCUUUUGGGUUAUUUUUUGAACUUUACAGCCUUUGCUAAUUACUUGGUUUUACUGUAGUAAAAAUUGGUGAAAAGAAACACUUCGGUUAUUUGCAAAGCUCAACUAUUGCUACUACCAUGAACUUCUAGGUGUGAAGAAGUGCUAGCUAUCAAGGAUGAAAAUCAGUUCCGUUAUAAGCUAAUGUUAAUGUUAAGUCUCAUUACAUUGUCUUACUUAACUGUUAGUGCAGAAUUUCUUAUUAAUUGGAAAUUUUGUUCAACUAUGAGGAAUUAUUCUUACUGUUAUGCUUAUUAAUCUCUGCAGGUUAGUAGGUGUUGCCGGUUGAAUGUGUUGUUGCUAAUGUGUUUGNNN